AGUGAACGCUGGCGGUAGGCCUAACACAUGCAAGUCGAACGGCGGCACAGGAGAGCUUGCUCUCUGGGUGGCGAGUGGCGGACGGGUGAGGAAUACAUCGGAAUCUACUCUGUCGUGGGGGAUAACGUAGGGAAACUUACGCUAAUACCGCAUACGACCUACGGGUGAAAGCAGGGGACCUUCGGGCCUUGCGCGAUUGAAUGAGCCGAUGUCGGAUUAGCUAGUUGGCGGGGUAAAGGCCCACCAAGGCGACGAUCCGUAGCUGGUCUGAGAGGAUGAUCAGCCAGACUGGACCUGAGACACGGUCCAGACUCCUACGGGAGGCAGCAUUGGGGAAUAUUGGACAAUGGGCGCAAGCCUGAUCCAGCCAUACCGCGUGGGUGAAGAAGGCCUUCGGGUUGUAAAGCCCUUUUGUUGGGAAAGAAAUCCAGCUGGCUAAUACCCGGUUGGGAUGACGGUACCCAAAGAAUAAGCACCGGCUAACUUCGUGCCAGCAGCCGCCGUAA
rnacentral:rRNA from 1 species